rnacentral:lncRNA from 1 species
UUUCUUACAACACCAGUGGUGCUCAACAAGGUGUUAUUUGUUGUAUGAGCUUAUUUUACAUGGGUUGUGGUCAACAUUGUUUUCUGUUGAGGUCAACUCGUUUAAGACAGAAGUAGAAAUAUGCUUCUGAACAAUUUCUAAUUAUUUUAAAUCACCUGAGGAUUAUAAAGCCUGUGGAUUUCCUAUUCCUGCCAUUGGAUGAAUAACAUACCAGGGAAAUUGUUCUUCCGGCGUUUGUCUGUAAUACUCUCUGCUACAGUUAUGACCAGACUCCACUGCAUUCCAUGCUGUCAACAAAUUGAUGAGGAAAUCACUGAUGAAGGCAACAUCACAUGCACUUACUUUCAAAUGUUACAUUACCUAAAACAUUCACGGUCUUCUUGAUUAUUUUUGCCCUGUGUUGAGAACCAUGAGAGGAGCCCCAAGAGACUAUCAGUCUUGUAGGUUGGGUGGCUUUGAGCUGCACACACCAGGAUCCUGUCUUUUCCUCCAAAAUAGACUGGUGAGAAAAAUGAUACAGGCAUGAGGUCAUUCUGUACUUCUACAGAAAUUGCUUUUUCCUAUGUAUUUAAAUACUCAGGGAAUAAUCUCUCUAUUCAAGUGAGGCCUACUACAUGAAGAUGGGCAAAGGUUCAGCUGAAGGGAAAGAAAAAUAUAUUCUUGUACCAGGAAAUUUUCCUGCCUGAACCAGUGGGGAACAGAUUUGUGGCUUAUUUUCUGGAAAGCCUUGGGACCUGGAAGAACGGGUAAGCAUCUGUCAAACAGACAUACACAAAUCACUCAUUUCCCUCAGCAACUCAAGUCAGGAAUGUUUUUGUUUUCCUUCAGGGGUUUCAGUUAUAGGGAAAGGACUUAAAGGUCUGUGAAAGAAGUCUUCAAGUGGAGAAGUUACACUGCCUAAGCGUGCUGGUGAUGCCAGGUUACACAUCCCCCUGCCCAAAGUCUGGGAGCCUGCUGUGUUUGUACUCUCUGUACCCUGACUCCUCAGCAGCAAAACACGGCUGGGUCCAGCACGGCUUCUUUAGA